UACGUAGGUGGCGAGCGUUGUCCGGAUUUACUGGGCGUAAAGAGCGCGCAGGCGGUCGUUCAAGUCGGAUGUGAAAGCCCCCGGCUCAACUGGGGAGGGUCAUUCGAUACUGAUCGACUCGAAGGCAGGAGAGGGAAGCGGAAUUCCCGGUGUAGUGGUGAAAUGCGUAGAUAUCGGGAGGAACACCGGUGGCGAAGGCGGCUUCCUGGCCUGUUCUUGACGCUGAGGCGCGAAAGCUAGGGGAGCAAACGGG
rnacentral:rRNA from 1 species